CCUUGUACACACCGCCCGUCACACCAUGGGAGUUGGCUCUACCCGAAGCCGGUGGGCGAACCCGCAAGGGGCGCAGCCGUCCACGGUCGGGUCAGCGACUGGGGUG
rnacentral:rRNA from 1 species